GGCUGGGUCCCCAGGGAAACCGCUGCAGGAGACAGGUGGAGUGACAGGACAAAAGGAGGAAGCAGUCACUGAAAGAUUGUGUGCGCAACAGAGAGCCAGAGAGAGUCCAUGUGAACAUAGUAGAGGCUAAGAGAGGAACCUGAUGAUAUCGGCACCUUCCUAGAGACCUUUUCUUUGCACAGUUGCAGUUAUGCAUGUCACCUAGCAGAGGAGGCCACCAUAUUAGCAAAGGAAGGGGUUGGCAGAGAGGCACAGCUUAAUGGUCACAGAAAAUGGAUAGCAAGGAAAUCUUCAACUGGAAAUGGAGGUCAUGGAGUUGUUUCUUCAGGAUGAGCAUCUGGCCAAGAGGAGGAGACAGAUCCAGCAGUAAUAGAUGAUUUAGAAAGAGAGAGAACUGAACAUGAAAGACUGAGCCUACUGCUGUUACACUGCUGAGCUGCUGAGAUGGGUUUUACUCUGGGACAUUGUGCAAUUU